rnacentral:rRNA from 1 species
UACGUAGGGGGCUAGCGUUGUCCGGAAUCAUUGGGCGUAAAGAGCGUGUAGGCGGUCCGGUAAGUCCGCUGUGAAAGUCGGGGGCUCAACCUUUGAAAGCCGGUGGAUACUGUGAGGCUAGAGUACGGAAGAGGCGAGUGGAAUUCCUGGUGUAGCGGUGGAAUGCGCAGAUAUCAGGAGGAACACCAAUAGCGAAGGCAGCUCGCUGGGACGUCACUGACACUGAGGCGCGAAAGCGUGGGGAGCAAACAGG